GUACAAUAGAGCUUAUAGGCUAAUGAGAAGACAGGAAGAAACAACAGGAACACAUAUAGCUGGAAUGCAGAUGGGAUCUGUGCUACUUACGCUAGCCAUGGGAUGAUUAGAACAAGAUAAGAGACAUGAGGAAGACUUCUUCAAGGAGGUGCUCAAGCCAUGUUUUGGAAAAGAGAACUCAAGGUCUGGCAGGGAGAAAGGAGCAAGGUCCUCUUCUCCCUGAAGGCUGUCACAGUUCCUGUGCAGAGAGAGAGGGCACUGCAGCACCCAGGCGCUGACUGCCUUUUGUCAGUCUCAUUUGCAGGCCCCCAGCUGGAGAACCCAGGAGGAAGAGGAAAAAAGUUUUUUCCUCCUCUACACUCCCCAUGCAUGACUAAAGAGUAGGAGGAGUCAGCAAGACAUAUAUAGUACCCAGGAGGUGGACAAACAACUGCCUUGGUGGAAACUCUGUCCUUUCUGGACUUAUCCUGGUGCCACUGAGACUGUGCAGGGCUUCUUUUGCUCAAUAUGGGACUCAUGAGAGUCAUCGGUGUUGUGUGAGGCAGCUGUUUGUUGAUUUUCUGGACCAAAUAAUGUUCCACCGUGUGACUGGACAUACCUUAGUCUAUCCAUUCUACCACUGAUGAGCAUGUCCCACACUUACAGGGAAAGCAUCACCCGAAAGUGAGAAUGCCUAGAGGCAGGAAUCAUGGAGGCUUCCUUAACCGUCUGUCUGCAACAGCAGGUGCUAGAGAUGACACUGCAGAGUAGAGAACAAAGGAAUCUUAGUAAUUGUUCAAUCCAAUCUCCACACUUUAAAGAUGAAGAAACUGGUAUUGAGAAAAAUACACAGCUUAUCCAAGGUUGCACUGCUGGUUGGUAGCUGAGAUGAAUUUAGAACCCACAUCUGAUGACUACACCAUAUUGCUCCCAGUUUUCCUGUCUGUUCCACAUGUAAAAGUCUGACUCUUCACUUCUCCUUUGAGUAUAUAGACUUUUAACAUUUUUGUAUGUCAAGAUGGACUUUUCCUCAUACCCAGCCCCUGCCUUUUCUCCUCCCUUCAUACCUUGCAGGAUCUUUAACAGAAUUUAAAAGGAGUUUUUUGUUUUGUUUUGAUGUAUCUAAUAAAAGUCAAGGGAGGGAGAGGGCCAGUAUAA
rnacentral:lncRNA from 1 species